AAUUCCGUGUGUAGCGCGUAGUGCACAGGUACCGUAGUCGACUAGGUCUGCGGGAUUAUGGCGAACGGGUGAGUAACACGUGAGCAACCUGCCCCUGACUCUGGGAUAAGCGCUGGAAACGGUGUCUAAUACUGGAUAUGUGCCAUGGCCGCAUGGUCUGUGGUUGGAAAGAUUUUUCGGUUGGGGAUGGGCUCGCGGCCUAUCAGCUUGUUGGUGAGGUAAUGGCUCACCAAGGCGUCGACGGGUAGCCGGCCUGAGAGGGUGACCGGCCACACUGGGACUGAGACACGGCCCAGACUCCUACGGGAGGCAGCAGUGGGGAAUAUUGCACAAUGGGCGGAAGCCUGAUGCAGCAACGCCGCGUGAGGGAUGACGGCCUUCGGGUUGUAAACCUCUUUUAGCAGGGAAGAAGCGUGAGUGACGGUACCUGCAGAAAAAGCACCGGCUAACUACGUGCCAGCAGCCGCGGUAAUACGUAGGGUGCAAGCGUUAUCCGGAAUUAUUGGGCGUAAAGAGCUCGUAGGCGGUUUGUCGCGUCUGCCGUGAAAUCCUCAGGCUCAACCUGAGGCUUGCGGUGGGUACGGGCAGACUUGAGUGCGGUAGGGGAGAUUGGAAUUCCUGGUGUAGCGGUGGAAUGCGCAGAUAUCAGGAGGAACACCGAUGGCGAAGGCAGAUCUCUGGGCCGUAACUGACGCUGAGGAGCGAAAGGGUGGGGAGCAAACAGGCUUAGAUACCCUGGUAGUCCACCCCGUAAACGUUGGGAACUAGUUGUGGGGUCCUUUCCACGGAUUCCGUGACGCAGAUAACGCAUUAAGUUCCCCGCCUGGGGAGUACGGCCGCACGGCUAAAACUCAAAGGAAUUGACGGGGACCCGCACAAGCGGCGGAGCAUGCGGAUUAAUUCGAUGCAACGCGAAGAACCUUACCAAGGCUUGACAUACACGAGAACGGGCCAGAAAUGGUCAACUCUUUGGACACUCGUGAACAGGUGGUGCAUGGUUGUCGUCAGCUCGUGUCGUGAGAUGUUGGGUUAAGUCCCGCAACGAGCGCAACCCUCGUUCUAUGUUGCCAGCACGUUAUGGUGGGAACUCAUGGGAUACUGCCGGGGUCAACUCGGAGGAAGGUGGGGAUGACGUCAAAUCAUCAUGCCCCUUAUGUCUUGGGCUUCACGCAUGCUACAAUGGCCGGUACAAUGGGCUGCGAUACCUGAGGUGGAGCGAAUCCCAAAAAGCCGGUCCCAUUCAAAAAUUAAAAGCAACUAGUAGAACAGAAGUAGGAGUCGAGGUAAUCGCAGAUCAGCAAAAAAGUAAAGAUUACGUUCCUCCUGGGGUACACACCGCCGGUAAAAGCAGCUAAAGGGUUACCGGAACGGUACCUUUACAUUGGACCAAGUGACGAAGCAAGAGGCCUCA
rnacentral:rRNA from 1 species